CCGUCUUUUCUUUUAUUAAUAGAUCAUAACUCAACAUAAAGUGUAUAUUUACAUCAAUGUCAACACAUGCAACUUCGAAAUAAAAUGUAACUAAUGAGAUACUUUUUCACAUAAAAUAUAAUUUAUAUUUAUCAAUUAUACUUGUUUAUACAAAAGUUUGUUUCCACUUCCUUAUCUUGUGCCAAUUUGUCAUCAUAUUAACAUUUUUGUUUUUAUCACCAACACUUCAACGUCCCUGACAGGAGACAAAAUCAAGCGUCUAAACAGAAAUUCGUCACUUUAAACGUUUUAAAGAUUAUAUUUUCAAAGUAAAGUCUUGUCUAUCUUUAUAUAGUCAUUCGCCGACGCGAAUGACAAAAA
rnacentral:lncRNA from 1 species